CUUAACCAGCAAUGAAGUGAAAAACCAAGAGAAAGUUUAAAAAGGAGAAUUAAAAACAAAAAAAUGGAAGGGCAGAAAAGUUCCGUGUGGGAGCGAUUUAGUGCAAUACUUCACCAUAACAAGUCAAGUGCUGGGUAUGUCAUAUGCAACAGCUGCAAAGCGCUGUAUGUAUAUGAUAGCCACAAAACUGGUACCUCAAACCUCAAACAUGGUGUAAUAUGUUACCAUAUCAUCACGCUUGCAUAUAUAUCCCACUGAGAAAUAAUGGCAAUAUGUGAUCGGGUUCUGGUCUCUAAAUUGGAGAAAAUAAUUCAUUCAUGUGGGUGGCAGGUGGAUGAUGCAUACAUGCAGAUUCGGAUGACAUCAGAGCCGAACCACGCAUCACUAUUCUCGGCCGUCACUCUGCUUUGUCUGUCUGGCUCCAUCUUCUCUUCUUCCCGGCGAAUGGCGAAAAAAGGCCCCAUUUCACAACAACUCCCCUUCAAAAUCACCCUGAUGAUUCUAGAAUGAUUAAUUCUGGUGAAGUCAUCUGGUGAAAAUUCCUGUAUUUUUUCAUAUCGCAAUAUAUAUAUCGCAGAGAAAAAAAUAUCGCAAUGUGAGUUUUUUUCCCAAUAUCGUGCAGCCCUACCACCCAUCCCUACAAAUAACCAUCGGGCUUUGCUUCUGACUGUCAGACAAUCUUAGAGAGCUAAAAAAAAUUCCAUGGGUAUGUAAGAACAAAUUUGUACAUACGAAUGAUUGAUGAAUGAGGCUAAUUGUUCAUAUAUAUGUCAUAGAAUAGAAACUUUUUUUUUGUUCACCCAGGGAUUUCUGUCUGUAUUUAGCAACAAUUCUAUGUCCACAAAAAGCCUCUGACAAGCUGUUACGACACUCCAUCUGACCAACCACCCAGCCAACCCCAAAAGUUGGACCCGGCCAAUUACCCCACUCUUCCGAGUUGUCCCGGUCUCUGCUCCACCCCCUCUGCUGAUCCAGGGUGGGCUACAGACUACCACAUGCCUCCUCCGAUACAUGUGGAGUCGCCAACCGAUUCUUUUCACCUGACAGUGAGGAGUUUCACCAGGGGGACAUAGCGCGUGGGAGGAUCACGCUAUUCCCCCCUGAACAGGCGCCCCGACCGACCAGAGGAGGCGCUGGUGCAGCGACCAGGACACAUACCCACAUCCAGCUUCCCACCCGCAGACACAGCCAAUUGUGUCUGUAGGGACAGCCGACCAAGCCAGAGGUAACAUGGGGAUUUGAUCCAGAGAUCCCCGUGUUGGGCCUCACUGAGCAGAGCUGGUUUUGUGGUGCGGGGUCCCGCUGGCUCUUCACUGCAUCUGUAGGCUUCCUGACGUUGUCUUGGAUGGACACAGACUCGAGGGAUCCCUCCUCUGUUGUGCUUCCUGAGGUUUCUCCCAUGUUUUUUCGGCAUCCCUGAGGACCAGGUGUUUCAUGCUGGACUUGACGGUGAUGUUCGCUCUGACCAGCACCUCCAAAGCACUGACCGCUGGGAACUCCUGAGAGAGAGUUUGAGAGACUUGCGUCUUUCCGAAGCUGCCACAGCCGGCGUGGUCCUCUCCACGCCGUCCUCCAUCACAACGUGACCCUCCUCUUCUGGGUGGGAGCGACUCCUCCUGCCCGUCU